AUCUUUUUCCACCCGUAGAGGUAGUGCUGCAGCCUGCAAGUCGGUCAGCGUGUGUGACAUGGUGGUAGUGCAGAGGUUAGUCUGCAGCUUGUAAUAGGAAGCAUUAGGGUGUUGCACUUCAUGUGCAGGGCUGCAUCCUUUUCAAAAGCUUUCUUAGCAGGAAAAUGGUCUGAUUUUUCACAAAAGAAGGGCUAUGAUUAAAGGACAGUCUGCUUCCCUGAUGGACGAUUUUGAUUUAGUAGAGGAGAUCUUUAGAUAACCUAAUGAGGAGAGUUUUGUUUUUGCAGUGGGAAACCAUAGCAACCUGCCACUUUAGAAUGCAUGGUAUAUAAUCUGUCUGUCCUUCAGACAGUAUUUUGCAGUCCAGAAAUAGUCGUUUCCUCAUGUGUGAAUGCAAAAUGUCAGACAAAUGUAGCUGGAGUGACAGUGUGGUCUCUGAGGUAAACAUGAGCCUUGUUGUGCUGUCCGUGUGGUGCUGCACGUUUGGAAAGCAGAUCCCAAAGGAGGACAAAGGUGUUGGUAACUGGAGAUACUUCCAAGAAAUACAUGCAGGAGUCAAAAAGCAGCAAAGCAGAACCAUGGUGUUUAAGGUAGGGUUUAAUGAAUGUAAAUGGCUUUUAUACUUCUGAGUACAAAAUGUCAUUUACUGCUUUUUAACUGUAAUUUUCACUUUCUGAUCAUUGCAGCAAAAACAUGCAGUCUGUGUAAAGCCACUAGUCAGAGAAAGGGAAUCUAGGAUGAACCUGCCUGGUUAUGAAUGCAGUUAUUAAGUAACUAAUUAGCACUGCUGUCUACGCACAUAAGAAAGGAGGGUUGUGUGAGUUUUCCCUGAAUAAUGAACUAAAUAAUGUCAUGCUGUUGUGACUGAUCUUCCCGCUAUGUUGCAGCGUAAUGAAACAAGAAUUUGGCCGAAUGUUUUGAUGUAGAGUGAAAAUGUUAAUGUAAAACUGAACAGUGAGAGUCUUGUGCUGCAGCUCUGGUUGAUUUGCAGUUGAGAGAAAGUAGCACUACUUUUUAACCUCUUAUUUGAGAUGAACCAGACUAAAAGUGUAACACUAGUGGGUUUUAUUUCAUAGAUAAAUGAAAAGUGUUCUAUAGUUUAAAAAAAAUAAAUAA
rnacentral:lncRNA from 1 species